GGAAUUUUGGACAAUGGGCGCAAGCCUGAUCCAGCCAUGCCGCGUGAGUGAAGAAGGCCUUCGGGUUGUAAAGCUCUUUCGGCAGGAACGAAAUGGUUCGUGUUAAUACCACGGACUGAUGACGGUACCUGAAGAAGAAGCACCGGCGAACUACGUGCCAGCAGCCGCGGUAAUACGUAGGGUGCAGGCGUUAAUCGGAAUUACUGGGCGUAAAGCGUGCGCAGGCGGUUUCUUAAGUCAGAUGUGAAAGCCCCAGGCUUAACCUGGGAACUGCGUUUGAAACGGGGAGACUCGAGUGUGGCAGAGGGGGGUGGAAUUCCACGUGUAGCAGUGAAAUGUGUAGAUAUGUGGAGGAACACCGGUGGCGAAGGCAGCCCCCUGGGUUAACACUGACGCUCAUGCACGAAAGCGUGGGGAGCAAAC
rnacentral:rRNA from 1 species